rnacentral:rRNA from 1 species
GACGAACGCUGGCGGCGUGCUUAACACAUGCAAGUCGAACGAAUGGAUUAAGAGCUUGCUCUUAUGAAGUUAGCGGCGGACGGGUGAGUAACACGUAGGUAACCUGCCCAUAAGACUGGGAUAACUCCGGGAAACCGGGGCUAAUACCGGAUAACAUUUUGAACCGCAUGGUUCGAAAUUGAAAGGCGGCUUCGGCUGUCACUUAUGGAUGGACCUGCGUCGCAUUAGCUAGUUGGUGAGGUAACGGCUCACCAAGGCAACGAUGCGUCGCAGACCUGAGAGGGUGAUCGGCCACACUGGGACUGAGACACGGCCCAGACUCCUACGGGAGGCAGCAGUAGGGAAUCUUCCGCAAUGGACGAAAGUCUGACGGAGCAACGCCGCGUGAGUGAUGAAGGCUUUCGGGUCGUAAAACUCUGUUGUUAGGGAAGAACAAGUGCUAGUUGAAUAAGCUGGCACCUUGACGGUACCUAACCAGAAAGCCACGGCUAACUACGUGCCAGCAGCCGCCGUAA